UCUGCAGCGAUACGGCUUUCUUACUGCGGUCGAGUCGCACGCAUCAGUGCGUGACGUCAGUGUGUUGUGUACUGGAAAGGGGUCUAUAAUUCAUCCUCAAAGACAAUGAUAAGUGUGCGGACUGUCUCCUCUCAUUUGUUUUAGGGGAACCUUAUAAAUGCCCAACUGAACUUGGACCAUGAUGAAGGAAUAGAACGUGAGUACCAGGUAGGCCCAGCUAAUCAUCAGGGCCUGAUAACAUUAACUAGACACACUUGACUUUCCCUCAAAAGACACAGUCCUCAAAGCCUUAAGUUUGCUGGCACAAUCUGUCCUCAUUUGUUUCAGGGGAACCUCGGGAAUACCGGACUAGACUUGGACCAUGAUGAAGACAUGGAUGAUGAUGGUCGGGCAACAUUUGAAGAUACGGACACUGAUUAAGACCCCUCAGACGAAUGAGAGCAAGAGGCAUAUGGAAGGCCACUCUUUGCCGGAUCAAGCCUUACUGUUGGUGGUGCUAUUGUUCUCAUGUGUUUUGUUGUACGAUUCAAAUUGUCAUGGCUUGCUCUGCAAGGGCUGCUUACUUUGCUCUGUGCAUUGAUGCCAAACUCUAACCUGCCUACCACAAAGUACCCGUUCAGACAUUUUUUCAAAGUAUGUACGGGUAUAGUGGAGUUUCAUUUUGUUUGCCUUGAAUGAUCUACAUACAUAGGUCCUAACUGUAAUGCUACGUGCAGUUCUUGCCUUACAGAGACAAGGUCGGACACACUCCAAAAACGGACAUUUGUUCAUUGUAAUUCCGAUGAAGCAACAACUUCGUGACAUGUUUGAGAAUAGCAAUCUGUCGGAUCUUAUCACAUAUCGUUGCAAUAGACAGAAGAAAUCAGAGGAAAACAUUGAAGACAUUUAUGAUGCUAAACAAUUCAAAACUAUCGAAGCAUUAUCUGAUGUAAACAAUAUUUAAUUGACAUGGAAUUCUGAUGAUGCAUCACUAUUCAAAUCAUCCAAGAUGCAUCACAAUGAGUUGCCCGUUAAGAUCUGACAUGCUCCUAGUUCUGACAGGGUUAUGGUUCGGACCAUCAAAGCCUGUUAUGUCCUUUUUUUCUAAAACCAUUUGUGGCUGAGUGUAGAUUACUUCAAGAGAAAGGUUUAUCCUGGUAUUGUAAGACCACACAAAGUUUUAAGAGAACAUACGUUUUUAAUUUGGAAUGUUCAUGCGACACAAUAGCUUGCAGUAUUUUGCAGAAUGUGAAACAGUUUAAUGGUAAAUUUGGUUGUGCGUGGUGCCCAAGGGGAAUAGUUUUGUAAGGGUUUAUGAUUCACAAGAGUACCCCAAGUGAAGUCAAGAACAUUUCUUAAGGGAUGCAGAAUAUGCAGUAAGAUACAACAAUAUAAGAAAUGGUGUUAAAGAUGCAUCCCCUCUUGCUUAUCAACUCAUUUGACAUUGUCAAAGGUUUUCCGGUUGAUUUUAUGCAUUGUGUCCUCUUAGGUGUUACUAAGUAUGUGACAAACUCUGUACAUAAUAUUUCCCCAUGUUACAUUGGUAGAAAACUUGGUGACGUUGACAAAUGCUUGAAUAGUGUUAUGCUUCCAAAGAAUAUAACCAGAACUCCAAGGUCAUUAUCUGAAAGAGCACUUUAGAACGCUUCUGAAUGGAGAAGCUGGCUUUUGUUUUACUCACUCAUUUGUGUUAAUGGUAUUCUUCCAAUUAUCUAUCUAAGGCACUUUCUGCUUCUUGUUGAAGCUAUUGGCUUCUAGAAUCAAUAAGUCCAAAUGACCUGUUGAGAGCAAAUGAAGUGUUGACAACCUUUGUUACAGAAGUCCCAGGUUUAUAUGCCAUUAAUCACAUUACCUUUAAUAUUCAUCAACUGCUUCAUAUUACAGUCUGUGGAGAACUGGGCUCCCCUGUGGGGCACAUCAAACUUCGUUUGAAACUGGGAACCACACAUUACUAAACUCAGUGUGUACCUCAGCAAAUUGCUAAGACAUUUGUCAUCUUCCGACAACUACCGCUUUUUGAAAAACAACAUCUCAAAGAGGGACACCCUGUCAGUUUUUUUUUUAAAGAAUCUGUUUAGGGCUUCUUUACGUUAAAAAUUCUUUAAAAUGCAAUGAUUUAGUCACCUUAAUUGGGACAUCAAAGUGUCAUAGACUAACCUUAUCUAUUCCACAAGCUCUAGUGGUUGUUAGUGUCAAUGUUGUCCCAGACCAACUGAUGUUUUAUUCCACAGCAAAUGUUAAUUGUUACAUAGUCAUUACACAAACAUACAAUAUAAUUUCUAAAAGAGUUUCCUACUGUGUAGCUUUUGAGAAUGGAACAUAUGGACUUGUUGACAGCUUUGUGCUACUGGAUGAUAAUUUCGACUGCUUAUUAAAGAUGUUUAAAAUUACAAGGAAGGCUUUCAGAUCUGCAAACGCCUCCUCUCGGCACAUUUUCAUUGUUGAUGAUGUAAGCAACCAAGUAGUUGCACUUAAAGCAUCAAAUGUUAAACGGACUGUAUUUUUGUAAAUGAGCCUUGUUUUAGAAACAAGUACUGCUGUGAUCAACCAAAUAACAUGGAAACUGAUUAGAAGUGUGAACAGUAUGAGAAAUCUAUACAAAUGACCGCAGUUUGAUCCAUUUGAUUGAAUUGUACAUUUUUACAAAUGGCCAGAGUUUUAUUUAGCAAAUAAAUGUUAAACCCUUUUUUAA